rnacentral:rRNA from 1 species
AUUGAACGCUGGCGGCAGGCCUAACACAUGCAAGUCGAACGAGUGGCGGAAGGGUGAGCAAUGUCUGGGCAACUGCCUGAUGGAUGGGGAUCACUACUGGAAACGGUAGCUACUACCGCAUAGCAGCGCGUGUGCCCAGGUGGGAUUAGCUAGUAGGUGGGGUAACGGCUUACCUAGGCGACGAUCCGUACCUGGUCUGAGAGGAUGACCAGUCACACUGGAACUGAGACACGGUCCAGACUCCUACGGGAGGCAGCAGUGGGGAAUAUUGCACAAUGGGCGCAAGCCUGAUGCAGCCAUGCCGCGUGUGUGAAGAAGGCCUUCGGAUUGUAAAGUACUUUCAGCUGGGAGGCGUUACUAACAGAAGAAGCACCGGCUAACUCCGUGCCAGCAGCCGCGGUAAUUC